AUGCAAGUAAAUCUGACCUCACCCUAUCAUCCCACUCAAGGCGUCUUAUUACUGACCCAUAACUAUUUGUUUUAAGACUUCUUUAACUAAUGGACUGUAAACGCCACCAUGCGACGCUAUCGCAUGCUAGCGCGGACCCCUCCCCAGGUCCCUCUGCAUUCCUGUGCAGUCAUCAUACACGGCCAAUGGAGCAGCCUGACUGCACACUGCCAGCGAGAAACAACAGCCAAGAGCGCACCACAAAAGACCAGCUCCUAAUCCGCAGCAUCCGGAAGGAGCAGGGUGGCAGGCGAGCCACCAAGGAGAAACUUUUCAUCAAAAGAAAGGAGGACAAUAAGAAGGGGGGGCGGGCAUUCAAGGAUCUGCCCCCGAGUGCUGCACGGAUACUGUACUCCGGCAGCCUGCAAGACGCAGGGUUCCCGCACCCGAUCUGGGUUAACCCCUGGAGAGGCGGGAUGAGACAAUGAAGCGGACUUCGCUUCGGGCGAGCUGCUCAUUUACACCCAUCUCAGACGAGCUGCCCUCCGAAACGGUUUUUCCUGCCCACCGGAGCGGCUCUGCCGGGUGGCUGGACCGACACACUUUUGCCCGGAUACUACCAGCACAGAAGGUUCACGCUAAUUGCCAGCGACAAAGCCGCGAUGCUGGAGCGGCGACCGUCUGGAUUAGCGGCACGAUUUCCCCAUCCGUGCUCGAUCCCCCCGUUGCGCUAAAAAUGAUACACAAAUUAUACCGGCAGUAUACCGAUGUCAAAUAAUACCAUAGCCCGCCGUCAUAUUUUUAUACACUCCGAAAAUAUCGGCAAGGCCGCAGCCACAUCCUCGGACUCACCUGACUCGUCUUGGCCCCUCAGGUCUCACUUGCUCCGGGUUCACUUUCCGAUCCUGAAGCGCCGCAGAAGCUCCUCACGACCAGUCCCCGGCACCGGCAGGCAACACAAAAGCGCUGAUUGGGCCCCGGCGAGCGCACAUCCCCCCCUGGUCUCUGCCCAGACAGGCGGGUUAUUGGUCGGCGGCUGUGUCGGAGACGCGCCCCUAUUAAGGUGUGCGCCGUUGUCUGUGUCUGGAGGGGGAGGGGACAAGAAGCAGGGAAAUGAUGGGAACUAAAUGGCUUGUUAUGCUCGCCGUGUCGACGGCGAAAGGCGAGCUACAAUGACAGAUAAACUGCGACCGGCCAUAUUAACGCCCUCGUCUAUGCGCCUGGGACGUGAACGGAUUUCCACGAGAAUGUCAUAUUCCUCUCUGUCAUAUCGGUAUUUUAAAAUGAAAAAAAGUUUGAAUGAAGAAGUUUUUGUUUUUAGCAAAAAAAUAAAUAAAUAAAACACCUAAA